GUUUCGUCCGAUGUCGCCGCACCUAAAAGGGGUUGAAAGUACUCGAGCAAUUCGUUGAGGUUGAGACUCGGACGCUGUUUUUGCCUGCAGAAGAUAACAGUAGAUGAUUAGCUAUGACGUCAAGUCGCACCCAAAUAUAAGCUGCCUAUUUAAGCGCCCCGUCCGUCCGGCCGGCCGGCGAUACUCCCCGUCGCACUCUCAUUAGAACAAGUACGGGUGGAAGUGCGGUCAUGGUAAUAGAAAGAGGACGCGUAAAAACGUUUCGCUUAGUUAAAAGGCUGGCAGAUUUCGGGUUCCGAACGUAGUGCUGGAUGUAUCGCGGCUGGAUUCGACGCCAGCAUUAGACUACUAUAUGGUACUUACUACUCGAGUUGUUGGGUAAUCAAGGACGUCGCUAAGAACCUGUAGUCGUUCCUUCAUUGUCUCCACCCAUUUUGCCUAGA